GCUGCGCCCCCGCGCGCGCAGGCAGCGGCGCGUUCCCAGCGACACCACAGCGGUCCGUUGCGGCAGACAAUGUGACCAAUCACUGAUGGAUACGGACUGAUGUCAGCCACUGGGACUGGUUCUGCUGGUGGAGGGUCAGCAGGUCAUAGCUGUGCCUCGGUACAGCCGGAACUGCCUGGAGGGUGGAGUUCAUCUCCACGGAGACAGCGGGGGUGGCUUUCUGCUUUGGCCUUGGGGAUGUGGUGCCCCCCAACACCACCCACAACACUCCAGUCUAAGUACGCAGGAGCUCCCAACCACUGCCUACAACAUGCCGAUCCAAGUACUCAGAAGAUCCUGACCGCUGCCCACAACACGCUGAUCUAAGUAAUCAGGAGCACCUAGACACCGCCCACAA